rnacentral:tRNA from 1 species
CGGGGUGUAGUACAGUUUGGUAGUAUGCCUGGUUUGGGACCAGGAGGUCGUCAGUUCGAGUCUGGCCACCCCGA